rnacentral:rRNA from 1 species
UUGCUCUUCAACGAGGAAUUCCUAGUAAGCGCAAGUCAUCAGCUUGCGUUGAUUACGUCCCUGCCCUUUGUACACACCGCCCGUCGCUAGUACCGAUUGAAUGGCUUAGUGAGGCCUCAGGAUCUGCUUAGAAGAGGGGGCGACUCCACUUCAGAGCGGAGAAUCUGGUCAAACUUGGUCGUUUAGAGGAACUAAAAGUCGUAACAAGGUUUCCGUAGGUGAACCUGCGGAAGGAUCAUUAAAGAAAAAUGUUAAUGGGGGUGGUACUGUGAGAGGCGUGUCUCUGGAACAAUUGAGGAUGGAUGAGUCUGAGCCUGCGCUUAAGUGCGCGGCCUGGGUUUUGUCUGUGCGAGGUGUUCUACUUUCAAGGAGCAUGUUUUCGAGCGUACCGUUUUUCCACAACACUACACACAGUGGAGUAAUCUAUUGUUCUUUCUAUUUUUCUUUGGGGGACGGUAAGUCUCCCGGGAGAAGCAAACACAAACAAUUAUUUUUAUAUUUACAAAAUUUGUCAGAACUUAAUUUCUCUUUUGAGAAAAUAACUUCAAAACUUUCAACAAUGGAUCUCUUGGUUCUCGCAUCGAUGAAGAACGCAGCGAAAUGCGAUACGUAAUGUGAAUUGCAGAAUUCCGUGAAUCAUCGAAUCUUUGAACGCACAUUGCGCCCUCUGGUAUUCCAGGGGGCAUGCCUGUUUGAGCGUCAUUUCCUUCUCAAACACCUGUGUUUGGUAGUGAGUGAUACUCUUAUUGAGUUAGCUUGAAAUUGUUGGCCAUAUAGUGGGGACAUUUGGAGUCUUGCUUUGUGGGUCUUAUUUUUCAUUGGGAGUUUCGCAAUGGAAAUAUCGUAUUAGGUUUUACCAACUUCGGUAUUUUUUUGUUGUGGGAUGCUAAUUCCUUUGGAUAGAGAUCUGUGUAUGGCGAAUCCAAUCUUGUCAGCACGGCAAACAGAAACCUUUAAGUUUGACCUCAAAUCAGGUAGGAUUACCCGCUGAACUUAAGCAUAUCAAUAAGCGGAGGA